rnacentral:lncRNA from 1 species
AACUCCUUAAAAACCCCGCCAUUUUACACAUCCCCAUUUCAAAACGCAGCUUUGCAUUUCCUGCUCCCUUUCAAACCCUAGACCAGAAACCGCCAUUAAAGAAAUCCUCGGUAGCUCUGCAUUCUUCUCCACCACGAAUCCUUUUCCCUUUUACAUUUGGCUCUAAGACUACCAUGCAACCUUACUCCUACACCGUCGAUUCCCUCUCCAAGUCGCAGGACAUCGCCGCCGCAAUCCUCGCCUCCUCAGCUCCUCCGCAGAUCUCGGCCGCAUGUAGCUCCGUCGAGUCGUUCCUCCGCUCCCACACUCCCGAUCAGUCCCGCCACUUCUACUCCGUCACAUUCCCGACCUUAAUCUGCAAGCUCUACGGAUUCGA